AUUGAACGCUGGCGGCAGUCCUAACACAUGCAAGUCGAGCGAGCGGCGGACGGGUGAGUAAUGUAUGGGGAUCUGCCCGAUAGAGAGGGAUAACUACUGGAAACGGUGGCUAAUAACGCAUACUAACGGAAGGACACAUAUGGGAUUCGCUAGUAGGUGGGGGAAAGGCUCACCUAGGCGACGAUCUCUAGCGGGUCUGAGAGGAUGAGCAGCCACACUGGGACUGAGACACGGCCCAGACUCCGAAGGGAGGCAGCAGUGGGGAAUAUUGCACAAUGGGCGAAAGCCUGAUGCAGCCAUGCCGCGUGUAUGAAGAAGGCCUUAGGGGUGUAAAGUACUUUCAGCGGGGAGGCGUUACCCGCAGAAGAAGCACCGGCUAACUCCGUGCCAGCAGCCGCGGGAAUAC
rnacentral:rRNA from 1 species